AUGGCUGUCGUCAGCUCGUGUCGUGAGAUGUUGGGUUAAGUCCCGCAACGAGCGCAACCCUUACUUUUAGUUGCUACCAUUCAGUUGGGCACUCUAAAAGAACUGCCAGUGAUAAGCUGGAGGAAGGUGGGGAUGACGUCAAGUCCUCAUGGCCCUUACGUGUUGGGCUACACACGUGCUACAAUGGUAUUUACAGUGGGAUGCAAAGAGGCAACUCUAAGCCAACCCCAAAAAGAUACCUCAGUUCGGAUUGCACUCUGCAACUCGAGUGCAUGAAGCUGGAAUUGCUAGUAAUCGCGGAUCAGCGUGCCGCGGUGAAUACGUUCCCGGGUCUUGUACACACCGCCCGUCACACCAUGGAAGUUGGUUACACCUUAAGGCAAAGCGUAAAACUUUUGACUACGGUACGAUCAGCGACUGGGGUGAAGUCGUAACAAGGUAGCCGUAGGGGAACCUGCGGCUGGAUCACCUCCUUUCUAAGGAAAUCGAAGAUUUGUCUUCGAUUUAAAAAAAUAGGUAAUGUGACCGUCCUCAUUUCUCUUCUUUCAAUGUCUCUGAGUAUUUGUAAAUAAGGGGCCGGUAGCUCAGGUGGUUAGAGCGCACCCCUGAUAAGGGUGAGGUCGGAAGUUCGAGUCUUCCUCGGCCCACCAAUAUUAAGGGGGAUUAGCUCAGCUGGGAGAGCGCCUGAUUUGCAUUCAGGAGGUCAGCGGUUCGAUCCCGCUAUCCUCCACCAAAAUUUUAGACAUUUAGCUUUUUUAAAUCGUAAAUAUUAUUAAUAUCAAUAUCUAUAUCCGAUUGUUUUCAUAUUUUUUUGAAAACAAUCAAAACAAAAAUUUAAUUUAUUACAGAAAAGUUUUUUUCUGUGCAUAAAUCAAGCGUUUAAGGGCGAUUGGCGGAUGCCUUGGCACUGUAAGACGAUGAAGGACGUGGUAUACUGCGAUAAGUUUCGGGGAGCCGUAUGCAGGCUUUGAUCCGAAAAUUUCCGAAUGGGGAAACCCGG
rnacentral:sRNA from 1 species